rnacentral:rRNA from 1 species
UAACUGAAGAGUUUGAUCAUGGCUCAGAUUGAACGCUGGCGGCAGGCUUAACACAUGCAAGUCGAGCGGGGGAAGGUAGCUUGCUACUGGACCUAGCGGCGGACGGG